AGAACAUAUUCAGAGGAAACUGGUGGAUAAUGGAUAUGGUACUAAAAAACAUACAACAGUUUCUGGUAUGGAAUCUUGCGAUAAUAUAUUCCCUAAUAUCUUCCAUUAUAUAGGGCCAUAUUGGAGCAAACAAAGACCAACCCAGUUCUGCAGUGCAACCACAAGUUAACCCUUCCACAAGCUACGAGAGAAAUACCGAGGCACCAAUUAGAAAGAGCUCUGAGAUACAUCACUUGGCUCCCAGAGACAAAACACAAGUCCUGCAGUAUAGGAACAUAGGAGGAAAUAAAGAUCAACCCAGCUCUGCAUUGCAACCAGAAGUUAUAUCUUCCCCAAGAAAUGAGAAACAUACCGAGUCACCUGUUAGAAAGAACUAUGAGAUGCAUCAUUUGGCUCCCAGAGACAAAACACAACUCCUGCAGUAUAAGAACAUUGGAGGAAACAAAGACCAACCUAGUUUCUUAGUGCAACCAGAUGUUCGCUCCUCCAUAAACAAGGAUGAAAAUACCGAAGCACCAGUUAAAAAGAUCUCUGAGAUUCAUCAUUUGACUCCCAGAGACAAACCACAGAUUCUGCCCACCUUCUUUAAAGCGGAAAGCUCCCGACGAGGUUUAUACUUCAACUCACAUCUUCUUAUGUUCUUAUUUCAUAUGCGCACUUUGUUAGCUCGAAUAAACGUUUUGUGUUUCACAGAAUGCCGACAGAUCAUUGUUGCCACAACUUAAACGCUUUUCCAUGUCUCCAAGAGAAAACAGGUUCUAAUUUUGGUUAUCUAAACAAUUUAUCUACAUAUAUAUACACGUUUGCUUCAUUAGUUCUAUAUUCUUAUAUACAUUACGGCUGAGUUUGCACAGGAACGUUGAGGAGCUAACACGCACAGUUGGGCAAGUAAAGGUGUCAAGCCAAGCGAGUAGACUAGAUAAUAAUACAACCAAGCAGCUUGUCAAGGAAAGCCCCCGGGCUAAGCCCCAACUCAUGAACAUGGCAAAUCUGGAAAUCCCGAUCACGGAAUAUGAUGAAAACAUUGAGAAAGCUGAAUCAUAUACAAAAGAACUCGACAACAUCUGCAACAUUCUGAGGAAGAAACAUGAGGAAGCGAAAGAGUUGCUUGUCCGUGCUGUAGUAAACAACAAUAAGCUACUGAUGCUCAACCAUCCUUUACAUGAAGACAAAAUAUCCUUUUAUCAGUUCUUUUUUAUUUUAAUGGCAUUUGUUAGAUUUUAUCUAUCCAUAGGUUAAAGCAUAUAGA